AAGGGAGGAGCUAAGCCUCCAGAGUCCUGGCAUGGGCAGGUGGGGGAGCCCCAAGGGCCAGCACCUCUGCCCCCACCCCAGAAGACUGCAGACAGCUGUGACGGAUGGCCACCUGGCCUGAACUGACUCCUGGCCCUCUCUUUAAUCCUGUUCUGACUCUGAGGACAUUCUGAUGCAGAAGGAAGAGGACCUGAAGUGCUGACAGCUGGUCCAAGAGCACACUUUGAGUAGUGAGACUCCGGAAUACUGAGCAGCGAGCACCAGAGCAGCAGUUCUCAUCAAAGGAGGGCAUCAGAACAAACACGCGGUCCUCGCCUCCUGCUCCCUUUCUCAAGACAGAGACAUUCUGAUCCAGUAGGUGUAGGGUGGGUCCUAACACAGGUGUUUCGAAACAGUCUCAAAUGGUUUCAUGCGCCCAUCCCCUUGUAAAAACUGGUUGUUCCUGAAUCCAAUAAUAAUACCUAUGUUAACCAA